UGUGGGUGGUUAAAAAGUGCCAGGGCGGGACCUGGGUCCGGUGACUCACGCCUGCACUUUGGGAGGAUGGGAACACUAGUAUUGUGAGCAGUGACAGCAGCGUGAGGGAAGACCUAGCUGGUGACGGGAACUUGGGUUGUUAUAGCUCCCACCAGGGGGGGUUCCAAAAAAGGGCCACAUCUCUUUCUAGCCCUGUAGUGCCUGAUUGUCUGCACCUCCCUCCAGCAGGGCCCCCAGCCCCACAUCCAGCACUUGCCCUCCUUUUGGGUUGCUUGGCUUAAGGACUGAAGAAGCCACAGCUAGGUGUACUUUUCCCUUUUUAGUAAUGGUGUCUUUUUAUUGAUAACUUCCCAACAGCAUCUGUAAACAUCGGGUACAAAAAUAUUCCAUUAAACUCUUUCCCGAGGUGGCUCCGUUUGCUCCAUGGAGGCCUUCAGAGAGGCCUGCUGGCCCCUCAGGUUCCACACCUCUAUUCAGAGAAACACAGAACUCAGCACGCUCAGGGCUGAAUGGAUGGCCAGCCUCCGUCUCAAGACUUCUACCUAUCUCAGAAACCUCCUUGAGAUACCAAGGAGAAAGUAUUUGAUACUUUUACGGAGCAAGGGGCAGGAAAAGCAGAAUUAGUGGGUGCGGGGGUGGGCUGGGGUGAACUCAGAGGAGACCGUGCUUGUGCACCUCAAGGAGGUCCUGACCGGUGGUGGGGGACAUCUGGCUCUGGUGUCUGGGAACCUUCUAAGCAUUCUUCAGAGCAGACGUCAGGCUCAGCUCUGGAAAAAUUCCCCUGUGCCCAGCCCCACGACUCCAGCUGGAAUGGGCGUGCCCUGGCAUGGCAGAGGGGUCUUGCAGAAUAGAGAUGUUCUGAGGAAGGAAGGAGCCAGAAUUAAAGACCCCCCCAGGAAUUCCACACCCCUCGGGAGAGAGCCUUGUCCCCCUAGGAGCCCUGGGUGACAGAACGGGGCAGCAAAGGAGCCCUGGAUGACAGAACAAGGCAGGGUUACCCGCUGCCACCUUGUAUGCUGCUGCCCUGAGACCCCCUCAAGGCACCGGGCAGCAGGGCUAUUCGCCCGUCAUCUCCUCGUCAUCUGUCUGGCUGCGGCCGUUGAUGGCUGGGGAGCCAGGCUGGACAUGGGACAGGUCCUCGAAGCCGGGGCUCAGGGAGGGCGAGACGGUGUCGGGGCUGGUGUCACAUGAGCCCGUGCUCUGUUCUGAGGUGGCAAUGGUGGUCGUGGUGCUGGGUGGGAUGGGGUCUUCAUCCUCUUCCUCCAGGAAGGAUGCCUCUGGGAUAUCUGGGGGAAGGAGGCCCAAGAGUUGGUUUUGUCACCUUGCCAAG
rnacentral:lncRNA from 10 species